UACGAAGGGGGCUAGCGUUGUUCGGAAUCACUGGGCGUAAAGGGCGCGUAGGCGGCCUGAUGAGUCGGGGUGAAAGCCUGUGGCUCAACCACAGAAUUGCCUUCGAUACUGUUAGGCUUGAGACCGGAAGAGGUAAGUGGAACUGCGAGUGUAGAGGUGAAAUUCGUAGAUAUUCGCAAGAACACCAGUGGCGAAGGCGGCUUACUGGUCCGGUUCUGACGCUGAGGCGCGAAAGCGUGGGGAGCAAACAGG
rnacentral:rRNA from 1 species